UACGAAGGGGGCUAGCGUUGCUCGGAAUUACUGGGCGUAAAGCGCACGUAGGCGGCUUUCUAAGUCAGGGGUGAAAUCCUGGAGCUCAACUCCAGAACUGCCUUUGAUACUGGCGAUCUUGAGUCCGGGAGAGGUGAGGUGGAACUGCGAGUGUAGAGGUGAAAAUUCGUAGAUAUUCGCAAGAACACCAGUGGCGAAGGCGGCUCACCUGGCCCGGUACUGACGCUGAGGUGCGAAAGCGUGGGGAGCAAACAGGG
rnacentral:rRNA from 1 species